rnacentral:rRNA from 1 species
UACGGGGGGGGCAAGCGUUGUUCGGAAUUACUGGGCGUAAAGGGCUCGUAGGUGGCCAACUAAGUCAGACGUGAAAUCCCUCAGCUUAACUGGGGAACUGCGUCUGAUACUGGAUGGCUAGAGGAUUGGGAGAGGGAUGCGGAAUUCCAGGUGUAGCGGUGAAAUGCGUAGAUAUCUGGAGGAACACCGGUGGCGAAGGCGGCAUCCUGGACCAACACUGACGCUGAGGAGCGAAAGCCAGGGGAGCAAACGGG